rnacentral:rRNA from 1 species
UACGUAGGGUGCGAGCGUUACUCGGAAUUACUGGGCGUAAAGCGUGCGCAGGCGGCCGCGCAAGUCGAGUGUGAAAUCCCCGAGCUUAACUUGGGAAUUGCGCUCGAAACUACGUGGCUGGAGUGUGGCAGAGGAAGGUGGAAUUCCACGUGUAGCGGUGAAAUGCGCAGAUAUCAGGAGGAACACCGAUGGCGAAGGCAGGUCUCUGGGCAUUAACUGACGCUGAGGAGCGAAAGCAUGGGGAGCGAACAGG